AUGCUCCCCAAUAUUUUUGGUAAGAUAGCCUCUUUGGAUUAGGGCUUAAAUCUCAUUUUUCAACUGGAAGCGGUCCUUGAUGUCGUGGCCAUAGUCAUAAUGGAAGCAAUAGAACUUCCUCUUAUUCCUCCUUUUUGGCAGGGCCUUCAUUGGUUGAGGUCGGUGAAGAUGCCCUUAGCCAUCGAUUUUUAUUAAGAUCUGGGCUUGAGGAGUGGACAAGAGAG
rnacentral:lncRNA from 1 species